UCCNGUAGCAGAACCACCUUAGUUGUGUC
rnacentral:piRNA from 1 species